UACGUAGGGGGCGAGCGUUAUCCGGAUUUACUGGGUGUAAAGGGAGCGUAGACGGAAUUGCAAGUCUGAUGUGAAAAUCCGGGGCCCAACCCCGGAACUGCAUUGGAAACUGUAUUUCUAGAGUAUGGGAGAGGUAGGUGGAAUUCCUAGUGUAGCGGUGAAAUGCGUAGAUAUCAGGAGGAACACCGGCGGCGAAGGCGGCCUGCUGGACGAUGACUGACGUUGAGGCUCGAAAGCGUGGGGAGCAAACAGG
rnacentral:rRNA from 1 species